rnacentral:rRNA from 1 species
UACAGAGGUCCCAAGCGUUGUUCGGAUUCACUGGGCGUAAAGGGUGCGUAGGCGGUCGGGUAAGUCUGUCGUGAAAUCUCCGAGCCCAACUCGGAAACUGCGUCGGAUACUAUUCGGCUAGAGGAAUGGAGGGGAGACUGGAAUUCUCGGUGUAGCAGUGAAAUGCGUAGAUAUCGGGAGGAACACCAGUGGCGAAGGCGACUUCCUGGCCUGUUCUUGACGCUGAGGCGCGAAAGCUAGGGGAGCAAACGGG